AAAAUUAAAGAUAAAUUAGUUAAUUAUAAAUUAAUAAAUUAAUUAAUAAUUAAUUAAUUAUAAAUAAAUAAAUAAAUAAAUAAAUAAAAUAAUUAUUGAAAAUUAUAAAUAAUAAUAAUUUAAUUAAUAAGUAUAAAUAAUAAAUUAAUAAAUUAUUUUAUUAUUUAAGCAAUAAAUAAUAAUUUAAAUAUAUUAAUUAAACUAAUUAAUUAUUUAAUACCAUAAUUAAAAUUAUUUUUAGACUUUAAUUAAUCUUACUCUCACCUGGGAACAAGCUUGUUCCAGGAAAAUGGUGGAACAGCAGUUCCAGCUUUAUACCAGCUUAUUCCAGAAAUUCGAGAACUACAAUUCUCGGAUACCAAACGCAACGUUUGGGAACAAAAGGGGGAAUUUAGGCUUAUUCCCCCACUUGUUCCCGAACCAAAUAUUACUCUAGGGUUUAGUUGACGGAAUGACUAUAGUAUCAGCGACUAGUCGACAUAUCUGUAGAGUGUCAGGACGAGUCGGAAUAGUUUUCGCGCGAAAUGGAUGCGAAAACGGACUUGACGCACUCAAAUAAG
rnacentral:lncRNA from 1 species